GAUGAACGCUGGCGGCGUGCUUAACACAUGCAAGUCGAACGGGAAACCUUUUAUUGAAGCUUCGGCAGAUUUAACUGGUUUCUAGUGGCGGACGGGUGAGUAACGCGUGGGUAACCUGCCUUGUACAGGGGGAUAACAGUCAGAAAUGACUGCUAAUACCGCAUAAGCGCACAGGACCGCAUGGUCCGGUGUGAAAAACUCCGGUGGUAUAAGAUGGACCCGCGUUGGAUUAGCUUGUUGGUGGGGUAACGGCCCACCAAGGCGACGAUCCAUAGCCGGCCUGAGAGGGUGAACGGCCACAUUGGGACUGAGACACGGCCCAGACUCCUACGGGAGGCAGCAGUGGGGAAUAUUGCACAAUGGGGGAAACCUUGAUGCAGCGACGCCGCGUGAAGGAAGAAGUAUCUCGGUAUGUAAACUUCUAUCAGCAGGGAAGA
rnacentral:rRNA from 1 species